UACGUAGGUGGCGAGCGUUAUCCGGAAUUAUUGGGCGUAAAGGGUGCGUAGGCGGUUCAUUAAGUCUGUGGUGAAAGUGCGGGGCUCAACCCCGUAUGGCCAUAGAAACUGGUGAACUAGAGUGCAGGAGAGGGCAGUGGAAUUCCAUGUGUAGCGGUAAAAUGCGUAGAUAUAUGGAGGAACACCGGUGGCGAAGGCGGCUGCCUGGCCUGUAACUGACGCUGAGGCACGAAAGCGUGGGGAGC
rnacentral:rRNA from 1 species